ACAAGAAAGUCGCGGUUGUGGCUGUGCCUUAGUGACAUAGGCGGGUGGCUUGCGCGAUGGCGGCACAUAUCUGGUGUAUCUGGUUGUGUUUGCGUGUGCUUGGUUCGUUGGUGAAGUAACGCGGUGACACGGUGCUUCCUGAGCUUCACACUCGUGUUUGCGUUGUGCACCUAGCAUGGAGUAUUCCCGGGUCAGUGUGCAUGUAUUCGAGGAUAAUGUCCGCUUCUUGCUACGGCGUGGAGGUUUGUAAUUUCAUCAACUCUGCGGGCGUCUCCAGCGCCUACACGAAGUGCACAGCUGAACGACCCUUCUAGGACCAAGACGCAGUUUCUGCGAUGUGGAUAUUCUGAGUAUUUCAGGAUAGGUAGCGGAAAGUAAACCUGGAACAGCUUCUUCUAUCAAUAGUGGUCAGUGAUGGGCAACACCGAAGACGCAUCCAAGGCAUCCAAGAUCCAGCCACGCAAGCGCUGCUUUUUUUUUUUUUCAGAAGUGGAAGAGCAAGCAGCACUCACCAUUGCAGAACUUGCGUGAACAAAUAGCUGUACUUUGUGUAUUUUAUGCCCACACGGUGCUCGUCACAUCGCACAUGCAAGAUCACAUGCACACUCAGCGAAGAUAUGCCUUUAAUGUGCACCACAUGACCGGCCGCAUUCAAGCGGAAGGCGCACUGUCAGUGCUACGGCUGCACCCACAAGCAGCGAUGUGAUCCUUGCCAGAAUCUUGUGCUGUGCAAUGUGUUUCACUUCAAGUGUUGGCACCAUUUUUGUGGGGAAUUGGCAUGAGGGGUUGAAGUGUUGUGCGAUUUGAUUGCACAUGCAUCUUUAGGUUGAGUGCCAGCUCCAUUUUUCAUAAAUUGACGUCAGUGAGGGCAUUGACCAGUAGUGUGAAGCUAGUCGUACGAAUAUUGCAAGCUAUGUUGCAAAAGAUGUGAAACCUCGCAAAGGUAUUUAUUUCUUCUUCUCUUUUUUUAAAUCACAUUGCUCAAAGGUCUCUGUGUGUAUUCCUAAUUCACAUUGCUUAAUGACUUGAGUGUCUGUCCCACAUUCAGAUUGCUUAAUGUCUAGUCAGCUUGUGCGAAUUUCUUUUUUUGUUGCAGCAUAAUCGUUGGUAUUGUCAAAUUUUUCUCUAUGUGAAACAACAUCUCAGCUUCCUAAAAACCGCUAAUGGAAUAUUCUACGAAGAAUCUUGCUGAAGAAUUGAUAGUACUAUAAAGAAAAUUUUCUAUAUGGUGAACAAGUGUUGGUUAAUACGAUCAUAAUGCCACUUUCAUGUCUCAUUUCUUGACGCUGUUUUAAAUUUUGAAAUCAUGUACCAGCUAGACCAGCAACAAAACUCUCCUAAGGUGGCUUUAGGACACACUUGUUUGAGUUCUGCAUGUGGGCUUCCCCACACAUCUUGUUUGACCCAAUCACGAUGGCAGACGUUGGUCUAGAAAGAUAAAUAAGGUCUGAGCAUGCUUUGCAAUCUGGCUAUGCCAGCUGCAUUCCUCCUUGCACAAUCCAUGCCCUUGGAAAUCAUACCGUAAUGUGAAGAUCGCUACUAGUUGGAGGACAGCCAUGUUGUCCAGGGGAAGUGAGAUGCGUAGGAAAGCCUUUAUGGAAUUUUGCCUAUGUUACAUUAUAGGUUGAUUAAGUUUUGGAGAAUGGAAAAUUUCUAUUGCUCGCUCUUUAUUUUGUGCAGUUUUGUUGCAAAGCCUAGUGCAAAGGUCUAGCGUGAAUUUCCUUUAAUGUUGCGAGCAUGCUGCUUUCAUGUUGUGAAUGCUAUGCUACACUUAAACUUGCAUGGCAUUCCUGAUGAGAAAUUACUUCACACAAAUCUUUAGAGUGAGGAAAUAACAAGACCAGCGAGAGUUAUUUUUCUGUGAAGAAAGCGACAAAUAGCAAUGACGCCCUAAAAGAUCGACAAGGUUUCAAGAGAGUGAAGGGAGGGAUGACAGGCACAGGUUUCAUUGAGGCAAGACGUGCUCUUCUGGAAGGAAUGUUGAAGACUUAAUGUUGAGAAGUAAUCCUCUGUAGAAACUGUUUCAUGCAGGAACCUUCAUACCAUUAUAUCAACACUGCAUGAAGUGCAUUGACUUUCUGAGCUCCAUUUUUGGUUUGCAUUGCUGCAGAUUGAGUAUGCCUCAAAUGUCGAUGGCUACUUAUUUGCUGCUUUAACUCACAUGUGGGGUUUUCAAAUUUUGGACAACUUAGCCAAAGCACCCUGUAUAAAAUGCAGUUGACAGAAGUGAAAAACAAACGUAUAUUGUAGAAAUAAACAAACAGUUUGAAAGAAUAAGUUGCUUGAUUAUUGCCUUGGUGAGCACAAGGAUAAUACUGUAACAGAGGCAGUGAGGAUCACACUUGCAGCAGGGAUCACACUUGCUGCCUUCCCUCACAUGCCAUUGUAUCGGGCACAGGCAUAAACACGAUUGUGACUUCAGAUAGAAAAAAAAGAGUUUACUCUAGGGUUGGGCACUAUGGACUGUAGGCUUUGCAUGGAGAAAGAAAAAGAACUAGGUUAGGACUUAGCAUUGCUUCCCAAGUAUGCUUAGUUAGAUUGCAUACUUAUAUUGUGAUGAUUGUGACAUCUUGAUAGCUGUUUGUGCAUGCAUCAAGGGUAACCUUGCAUGCUCUAUUUAACAAAGGAACGUUUCUGUACCUCCUAUCUCUUACAAACUUGCCAUUUACUGCACACCGACGCACUCACAUUUGCACACCACAGUUUUUCUUUCAUGCCUCUAAAGUAGAUGAAGUCUGCCUGUAACGUUUUAGCAUUAAAAAAGCAAGUAUCACAAAUAUCAGA